UACGUAGGGGGCAAGCGUUGUCCGGAUUUAUUGGGCGUAAAGAGCGUGUAGGCGGCCAGAUAAGUCCGCUGUGAAAACUCGAGGCUCAACUUCGAGCUGUCGGUGGAAACUAUCUGGCUAGAGUCCGGAAGAGGAGAGUGGAAUUCCUGGUGUAGCGGUGAAAUGCGCAGAUAUCAGGAAGAACACCCGUGGCGAAGGCGGCUCUCUGGGACGGUACUGACGCUGAGACGCGAAAGCGUGGGGAGCGAACAGG
rnacentral:rRNA from 1 species